AUGGCUUUCUGGAAAAGUGGCAUUGUGAUCAUAAUUCUGUAUAUCAAUGGAUGUGAUUCUCAGGAUAAAGUUGAUCAGCACAUAAUGACUCAAUCUGCUUUUGAAGGUGAUACAGUAACCAUUGACUGCACAUAUCAGACUUCUUAUGCAGGCCAGACUCUAUUCUGGUACCAGCAGAAAGUCAACAGAGUCCCGAAAUACAUGCUGAAUAAGCUGAGUAAUACAUCUGGACACACUGAAGAAGAAUUCAAGAAAAGAUUUCAUGCAACUCUCAGCAAAACUUCAGUUCCUCUGAAAAUCAAGGAUCUGCGUGUGUCAGACUCUGCAGUGUAUUACUGUGCUCUGAGGUAUAAAGUGCCACAAGAGGGCAGUGUUCACAUUCAUGAACUACAGCAAUUAACAACAGAAGAGAAGCUAUGA